rnacentral:rRNA from 1 species
AUGAACACCUCGGUAGUGGUCAAAACCCCCGUGGGACAGUGUCAAACCUCUGUGGUUGGCAUCGACGUCCCCGUGGAAAUCGAAGGGCUGGAAUUCUAUGCCUCUCCCAUUAUCCUGAAGUCGUCUAACAUCGACCUCAUUUUGGGCAUGGAUUGGUUGAAAGCGCAUACUGCUUCUAUAGUUUGCGCCACUAAGACCGUCCAUCUACUUCACCCUUCAGAUGAAAUAGUUACUUACCAAGCUCAUCUGGUGCAAAAUGCCGAGGCCAGGCUCUAUGCAUUGAAUGCAUUGAACGCUGCACCACUCGAGGGCAUUGAAAACAUUCCCGUCGUGCAUGAAUUCCUCGACGUCUUUCCUGAAGAACUUCCAGGGAUUCCCCCUGCUAGAGCUGUCGAAUUCAUCAUCGACUUGAAACCAGGCACCACUCCUAUAGCCAAGCGACCCUACAAGAUGCCGCCGCAUGAACUCCUUGAGCUUAAGGAGGAAAUCAACAAAUCUCUUCACAAAGGAUUCAUUCGCCCAAGUUGCUCUCCUUGGGGAGCACCUUCUCUCUUUGUCAAGAAGAAGGAUGGGACAAACCGAUUAGUUCAAGACUACCAUCCUAUAAACCAAGCUACCAUUCAGAAUAAAUACCCUCUUCCUCAGAUCAAUGAUCUGUAUGAUCAACUGGCGGGUUCAUCAGUGUUCUCUAAGCUCGACUUGAGGUUGGGUUACCACCAGAUCCGUGUUCGCGAAGAGGAUAUCCCAAAGACCGCCUUCGUGACUCGAUAUGGUUCAUACGAGUACACCGUCAUGUCUUUCGGUUUAACCAAUGCUCCAGCCACCUUCUCUCGUCUGAUGAACUAUAUAUUCAUGGAUUACCUCGACAAGUUCGUCGUGGGUUAUCUGGAUGAUAUCCUGGUAUUUUCCAAGAACGAAGAGGAACAUGCUGAACAUCUUCGUCUUGUGCUGGAAAAGCUACGAGAGCAUCAACUAUAUGCCAAGUUCUCCAAAUGUGAAUUCUGGCUACCCGAAGUAACCUAUCUUGGGCAUGUGAUCUCUAAGGAUGGUAUUGCCGUCAACCCUGAACGAGUCCAGGCUAUCCUUGAUUGGACUCCUCCCAAGAACGUUAAGCAAGUCAGAAGUUUUCUCGGUCUCGCCAGCUAUUGCCGUCGAUUCAUCGAGAACUUCUCCAAGAUCGCCAGGCCUCUGACUAACCUGUUGCAUAAGGGCGUCAAGUUCCAAUGGACAGACAAAUGUUAG